GACGAACGCUGGCGGCGUGCUUAACACAUGCAAGUCGAACGGAAAGGCCCUGCUUUUGUGGGGUGCUCGAGUGGCGAACGGGUGAGUAACACGUGAGUAACCUGCCCUUGACUUUGGGAUAACUUCAGGAAACUGGGGCUAAUACCGGAUAGGAGCUCCUGCUGCAUGGUGGGGGUUGGAAAGUUUCGGCGGUUGGGGAUGGACUCGCGGCUUAUCAGCUUGUUGGUGGGGUGGUGGCUUACCAAGGCUUUGACGGGUAGCCGGCCUGAGAGGGUGACCGGCCAUCAGGGGUUGAGAGAAGGGCCAGAGCCCCGAGGGAGGGCGGAGGGGGAGAAAUUGUCAAAAUGGGCGAAGCCCGGACGAAGCAACUCCGCGGGCGGGAGGAGGGCCUUGGGGUUGAAAACGGAUUUCGCCGGUAGCGAAGCGUGAGGGAGGGAAAUGGGGAAAGGACCCCCGAGAAACAACGG
rnacentral:rRNA from 1 species